AUUGAACUCUGGCGGCAGGCCUAACACAUGCAAGUCGAACGAGUGGCGGACGGGUGAGUAAUGUCUGGGAAACUGCCUGAUGUAGGGGGAUAACUACUGGAAACGGUAGCUAAUACCGCAUACCAUCGGAUGUGCCCAGAUGUGAUUAGCUAGUAGGUGGGGUAAAGGCUCACCUAGGCGACGAUCCCUAACUGGUCUGAGAGGAUUACCAGCCACACUGGAACUGUGACACGGUCCAGACUACUACGGGCGGCAGCAGGUGGGAAUAUUGCACAAUGGGCGCAAGCCUGAUGCAGCCAUGGCGCGUGUAUGAAGAAGGCUGUCGGGUUGUAAAGUACUUUCAGCGGGGAGGCGUUACCCGCAGAAGAAGCACCGGAUAAAUCCGUGCCAGAAGCCGCGGUAAUUC
rnacentral:rRNA from 1 species